ACGUAGGGUGCAGGCGUUAAUCGGAAUUACUGGGCGUAAAGCGUGCGCAGGCGGUUUGCUAAGACAGGUGUGAAAUCCCCGGGCUUAACCUGGGAACUGCGCUUGUAACUAGCAGGCUAGAGUGUGGCAGAGGGGGGUGGAAUUCCAGGUGUAGCAGUGAAAUGCGUAGAUAUAGGAAGGAACACCAGUGGCGAAGGCGACUACCUGGACUGAUACUGACACUGAGGUGCGAAAGCGUGGGGAGCAAACGGGA
rnacentral:rRNA from 1 species